CCCUCCGCCAUCCAGCAGCGGGCCGUUCUCCCUAUUAUCUCCGGCCGUGACGUCAUUGCCCAGGCCCAGUCUGGUACUGGUAAAACAUCCAUGAUUGCUCUUGCGGUCUGUCAGAUUGCCGACACCAAGUCCUCCGAGUAAGAUUUUGCUGUAACUAUGAAUUUGAUUCAGGGAGAGUUUUGUAUUGUGCUUUUGUCUUAUUUGGUGUUCUGUGCAUCUCGUGCUGUUAUAGGAAUUGGAAUAGAUAGAGUUGAAAAAGUACUGGCUUUAUCGAUGACACUUAAUAUAUGCUUUUUUAGCAGGAGAUAUUGAUUACUUUGGCUUCAGGUUUGAUAUCAAGAUUAGUUGGAGUUAACAUAACACCCCUUGUAUUUGGAAAUCUUGGGCCGUUCGGCCUUUUAUAUAUAUAUAUAUAUAUAUAUAUAUAUAUAUAUNNNNNNNNNNNNNNNNNNNNNNNNNNNNNNNNNNNNNNNNNNNNNNNNNNNNGAGAGAGAGAGAGAGAGAGAGAGAGAGAAUGCACACGAUUGCACUAUUUGUUCUCUACUUUUUGUCAAUUGCUACCUCGUGGUGGCAAAUGGGACAAUUUUGAGCACCAUGUCACUCGAAUUAAGAAUUCAUCUUCGUAACACAAAAUCCGUAAAGAACUCUAAUUUAAGUGACUAAAACCCUGUUUGAAUAAGCUUUUUUGAGAUUAUAAGCUGGCUGGUCAUAUUAAAUGUGUCGUUAAAAAGUGGAUAAAAGUUGUGUGCACGCUGAAAUGUGUUGUUAAAAAUGAAGUUCGACCAUUUUAUAAUCUCAAAAAAGCUUGGUAAAAAAGUGGCUAAUUUAGCAACUUUUUGACCGAAAGGACACAAGUAGCCAAUUUUUUAUGAUGACCUAGUUUAUGUCAAAUGUAUUUUUAAGGUCUGUUAUGAACUUUAAAUAGUAGGGAAAACAAAAUAUAUGAUGAGAAAUUCACUUUAUAUCUUAGGGCCCGUUUGAUUAGAUGAAUUUUCAAUGGAAGGCUAAAUUUUCUUGGCAAUUGGUUUUCCUCGUUCACCCCCACGUGGUCAGGUUUUCCACCUUUUUGAGGAAUUGCGAUUCCCAUUGGUUUGGUGGGACAAAUGGGUUUUCCAGAUUUUUUUUUUGUUUAUUUUAUUUUUUGGUAAUGGAAAUGAAUUUUAUCCACAAUUGUAACAAAUUAUAUUCCUUUAAUUGAUAAUUUUCAUGGAAAAUAAAGCCAAACAAAUACCAAAAUUCCAAAAUUUCAACAUUUUUCAAGUGAAAAAUACCAAUCAAACACAUUUAAUUAAUAAUUUCAAGUAAAACAAGUUUUAGGCAAUUCAAUUCCUGGAAUUCUUUUUUUUUUUCCCACCCAAAUUCUAUUCUUGCAGUCAAACGAUUCUUAUUCUUUUUCCUUCUGGUUCAUUUGUAUUUUAACUCGUACUUACACUCAAUUAAUGAUAACUAUGUUAGCGACUGUAUAUUGAAUGUUUUCAUCUAUCUUUGGUUCGAUAAUUUUGUAUGAAUAUUUAAGAAGCCAGGCAAUUGAAUACUUGAAUUCAUGCUUCUUUUCCAAUUGAAAUCAGGGUCCAGGCCUUAAUAUUGUCACCUACAAGGGAGCUGGCUGCUCAAACAGAGAAAGUAAUAUUGGCCAUUGGUGACUAUAUAAACAUUCAGGCUCAUGCAUGCAUUGGGGGCAAAAGUGUGGGUGAGGAUAUUAGAAAACUGGAGCAUGGAGUUCAUGUGGUGUCGGGGACCCCAGGCAGAGUUUGUGACAUGAUCAAGAGGAGAACUCUGAGAACUAGAUCCAUCAAAUUAUUAAUUCUCGUGAGUUGAUUUUAUGAACUUAUUUUUAUUGUGAGGCAUAUUGGCUCAAUAUUUUAGGCCCCUUGUUAGAUCACAUAAGUAAUUCUGGACUCAUUUAAGUGUGUUUGAUUUGAUUUGAUUUUUAUUUUUAUUUUUAUUUUUUGUUUUGGAAUUUUGUCAGGAUGAAUCUGAUGAAAUGUUGAGCCGUGGAUUCAAGGAUCAGAUUUAUGAUGUUUACAGAUAUCUUCCACCAGAGCUUCAGGUGAUUCCCGUCUUCGUGUAUAUUUGUGUCCCUCACAUGUUAGGUCAGCUUAUAUAACUACAAGAUGAUGUUAUGAUCUUCUUUUUUUCCCCCCUCCCUUCUGUGUAUUUUUUUCCCCUUCUGUGUAUUUUGUGCCUCUCGAUUGAAUGGAGAAUUGAAGUUCAUGUUUUCCAUUUCGUUAUGUCACACCAAAUUAAAAGAAUAUCGUGCUUAAACUUCCAAAACUUAGAAUCUGAGGGACAUCCUAAUGAAUAAAUAAAAAACUUAUGCAUGUGUGCAGCAAGUCCUUGCUUUUGACUUUCUUAUUUUUAUAUAGAUUAUAGAUCUUAUAAUUAUUACUUUCGUAUAAAUAGAGCUUAAGAUGGUAGUAAAGAUUAAUUUUCUUAUCUUUGAUUGCUCCUAACAAAGUUUUAAAUAAGGCAAAUUAUCAGUGCAAAUCUUUACAUGUGCAUCAUUUUAUCAUAUUACAUGAGUAUAUUUUACUUUAAUGGAAAAUCCUCAUAAAUAGAUUAAAACUUUAAAAAGCUAUGGAUCUAGCUUAAAGAUCUGGAAGAAGUUUUUUAAGAUUAUUUUAGCUAAGAAACUUGAUAAAAGGAUUAAAAUUGAGUUUGAUAGAACAUAGUUUUACUGGUUCUGAAUUGAUUGGUUCAUGAUAUCCAUGUUUAUAAAUGCACAAUUGGAUGCUGAGGCAUUUUAGCUUUGUAAGGGACAAGCCAAUAAAAUAAUUCAAAAGAAAAAAAAGACAUAAAAUGCUUCAGGCAAUAAAACAAAUAGCCCAAAAGCUGAGGCCGGGUUAAAAAAUCCAGAAAAUAUGUGAAAAACGAGUGCACGCUACAGUUCCCUGAAGCUUAGCCUUGAUUGAAUGGAAGAAGCAUUUUGAUUCAAAUUCAAAUCAAUUUGCCCAAGUAUUUUGAAUCAGUAAUGGCUUGAUAAUGUGAUUUACUGUAUCAUUUCUAGCGGGCCUUCAUUUGUGGUGGGUUUUUGCAAAUUGGACCUGUGUUGUGCUGUUUUCCACUGCAGACUAUUUAUGGUGUAUAUUAUGAUUCAGGUUGUCUUGAUUUCUGCCACUCUUCCUAAUGAGAUCCUAGAGAUUACGAGCAAAUUCAUGACAGAUCCUGUCCGUAUCCUCGUAAAACGUGAUGAAUUGACACUGGAGGUGAACUUUUUUGAUAAUUAAAUAUCUUUCUCGAUCAUUUCAAUUUUUUCAGGGUGUGUGUUUUUUUUUUUUUUUUUUUUUUUGGGUUUUUUGGGGUGGCGGGGGUGGGGGUGGGCGUUGCUGUAUGCAAAAUGUAGAAGUUUCAGCCAAUUGAAAUAUUAACAGACAAAUAACACUUUCUAACAAAACAUCAGAAGCAAGGGAUGCUAUUCCUUUUUUCCCCCCCCUUUUCAAAUUGAAAGAAAGUUUGCUGAUUAUCUUUUAUAUUGUUACAGGGCAUUAAGCAAUUUUUUGUGGCAGUAGAAAGAGAAGAAUGGAAGUUUGAUACUCUAUGCGAUCUAUAUGAUACUCUUACAAUCACUCAGGCUGUAAUCUUUUGCAACACAAAGCGUAAGGUGGAAAACUUAUUUUUGUUUCCUUUUUCAGUGUUCCAUUUUCUUAGCAGCUCAUUUUUACACCUUCAUCAGUAAUUCGUGAUAUCCUCUCCUUUUCUCUUUCCCUAACUUCCCCCUGGGCUGGUGUUCUUUAAUUUGAUUUUAUUAUAUAACCUUUGUUUGAUCCCUAUUAUUUUCAAAAUGCAUUUUUCUUUCUUCUUUUCAACCAUAGAUUCUACAAUAAAAUAAUAUUGCACUCAAACCCAAAACUUUUCCUUGUUUAACUCCAUAUUUUCCAUCAAUCUACCAUUCCAAAAUGUGUUCUUAGCCAAAAUGGAGCUCAAGCAGGCGCAUACACUCCAGAAUUGAACAGCUUAAUACCUUUUUGCAUGAUUAUGCAAGUAAAUGAGGAAUAUCCUGCUUCUCUUUUUGUAUCAGAAGUACUAAUCUUUAGUACUAAAUAUAUUGCUAAUUGCCAUUCAGAAUUCUUAAGAUAUGUGAGUGACUUUAUGAUCUUCCCAUGUUACAUGGAGUUGGGCACAGGUCCUAAGGCUUUUAGCUUUACUGGGCUUCAAAUUUGAGGAUGAGGGACACUGCCAUAUCGUUUAUGUGAGAUAUUUGAUAUGGUUUUGUACAAAUUUAAUAGUUUUAAAGGAUGGGUACAAUGAAAAGAUAUAUCUUUUACUUGGAUUGUUGUGAAUUAAAGCAAAAGAUUUUGGUUACUUCAAAUAUAAAUUUGGGGUCAAAAUAUCACAUAUGAAUCACUAAAAGUUCAGACGGUCACAUCUUUACAAUUUUUUCAAAUAGAUCUGAAUCUGACCAUAUGAAGCCUGACUCCUUGGUUUGGGUCAGUUACAUUUUUCCAAUAUCUGCCCAACAAAUUUACCCUCAUAUUAGUAUUUACCUAUGUGCAUAGUCUCUGAAUUGCAUGUAUAGGAUGGUUGCACGUAUUAGAGAUCGAUAUAUGGNUUUUUCCAUCAAUCUAUUAUUCCAAAAUACAUUAUUCAAAAAAGUUGGCUCAAACAUGCUCUUAAUAUUCAUAAUUAUACUACAACUAUCUAUAUUUAUAAUUUAUUAUCAUAAUAAUUAGUAUUCUCAUUAUUUAUUGAAAUAAGGAAGGUGAGGAUGAUGUCAAGUCAAUCAUGCUCCUUGUACCCGAGUGACACACUUGUUAAAAAGGCCGGGACAAAGGGUUAAAUUUUAUUAAAUCUGAGUUAAUAUACUACUAUUUGUUAUCUUGUGGUGUUGAAACUUGAACAAUAUUUUCAACAACAAAGCCCUGUGUUGGUCGGCCCCACGCGGGCCCUGAUACCAUAAAAAAAAAUGAAAUAAAAAUUAACCCCACCCCAUGUAAGGGGUUGGUAAGACCCCUGUAAGGUGCUGGGCUUACUAUCCUAUUUUGAAUCAAGAAGUAAUACCACCCAAAAGGAUAAGAAGUACUAAUCUUUAGCGCCCCCCAGGGCACAUCCAAGUUGGCGGAACAAUCACAUUGGGGGGCUCUGGAACCAAGUGUGGGGAGUUCGAUUCCUGGUUGGAGCAGCCAAGUGAUGUAAUAACCAGAGGAAGGGUUGGAGCAGCUUGGUGAUGUAAUAACCAUGGAGGAGGGUCCCUUUGGGGAAGGAGUAAAAGCCAUGUGGGAACUUGGGAACCAACAAGGGCACAACCUGCGAUUUACCUCCACUAGUCACUGAGGGGCCGGGGGCUAGAGGUCCAGGAUUUAGUCCGCCUAAGCUGGGACACCUGGGUUAUCAAAAAAAAAAAAAAAAAAAAAGUACUAAUCUUUAGCACUAAAAUAUAUUUUACACGGAGUUGGGCAUAGGUCCUAGUGUUUUAGGCUUUUAGCUUUACUGGUCUUCAAAUCUGAGGAUGAGGGGACACUGCCAUAUCGUUUAUGUGAAAUAUUUGAUAUGGUUUUGUACAAAUUUAAUGGUUUUAAAGGAUGGAUACAAUAAAAAAGAUAUAACUUUUAAUUGGAUUGUUGUGAAUUAAAGCAAACGAUUUUGGUUACUUCAAAUAUAAAUUUGGGGUCAAAAUAUUACAUAUGAAUCACUAAAAGUUCAUAUGGGCACAUCUUUACAAUUUUUUCAAAUAGAUCUGAAUCUGACCAUAUGAAGUCUGACUCCUUGGUUUGGGUCAGUUACAUUUUUCCAAUAUCUGAUCUACAAAUUUACCCUCAUAUUAGUAUUUACCUAUGUGCAUAGUUUUUGAAUUGCAUGUAAAUUCUUCGAUUCAAAAAUAACAAUAAUCGAUAUACAGGAUGAUUGCACGUAUUAGAGAUCGAUAUAUGGUGUACUUGUCGUUUUACUUGAUUAGACUGCAAACAAGCUUUCGCGUCUCAAUUCUUAUGUCAAGAAAUAUUAGUGGAAAUACCAUUAAUCAACUACAACUAUAGGAAAUAGUGGCUCUUCUAAGGAACAAAAACUAAUUAAAAAUUGAUAAAUGAGAAUAAAACAGAAUUUUGUAUUGAUAUGCAAUAAUGAAAAUGUCAUAGAUGCUGGUAUCAGGGUAAUUCAAUAAUUAUUGUUUUAGUCAACUGUUUUCCUUGCAUUUUUAUGUUGUAGCUCUUUCCGCGUGACAGGUGGAUUGGCUAACAGUAAAAAUGCGCGAGAAUAACUUUACUGUCUCGUCCAUGCAUGAAGACAUGCCACAGAAAGAGCGGGAUGCAAUUAUAGCAGAAUUUCGGUCGGUCCAACUCAGUGCCGGUCCUG
rnacentral:lncRNA from 1 species